ACUUCACCGACUGUACCUACCAUGAUGGAUACCUUCUGUGGUUUGGGCGAUCGUGUGGUUGAGACGAAGCCCUUACCCCAAAAGGUGUCUGUCAUGGUAAGCUUCAACUGCCGUAAGA
rnacentral:pre_miRNA from 16 species